UUUAAAUGAAGACCAGAACAAAAGAUUCUACGUUUUAAUUUUUUUCUUUUUUUAAAAAUUCAAACUUAUCUUAAAUGUUAAAAGACAUUUAUUUAAAAGAAAGACGACAAGACCCUAUUAAACUUAACUACAGUUAAACUGGGGCAGUUUAUUAAUAAUUAUUUUAAUUAAACUAAUUUAAUAAAUGAUCUAAUAUAAUUAAUCACAUGAUCAAGUUACUAUAGGGAUAACAGCGUAAUAAUUAUUUAAAGCUCUUAUAAAAAUAAUAGUUUACGACCUCGAUGUUGAAUUAAUAACCUAAUUAACGCAAAAGAUAAUUAAGGAAGUCUGUUCGACUUUUAAAAAAUUACAUGAUUUGAGUUCAGACCGGUAUAAGCCAGGUCGGUUUCUAUCUUCUAUUUACUUCUUACAGUACGAAAGGACCUAAGAAACUAAUUUAAUUAAUAUAUUGGCAGAAAAAUGCAUUAGAAUUAGAAUCUAAUUAACUAAAUCAUUAUAUUUAUAUUAUCCUAUCUAAUUAUUACCUUAAGA
rnacentral:rRNA from 1 species